rnacentral:rRNA from 1 species
CCCUUAGAUGUUCUGGGCUGCACGCGCGCUACACUGAUGCGCUCAACGAGUUUAUAACCUUGUCCGGCAGGAUUGGGUAAUCUUUUUAAAACGCAUCGUGAUGGGGAUAGAUUAUUGCAAUUAUUAAUCUUCAACGAGGAAUUCCUAGUAAGUGCAAGUCAUCAGCUUGCGCUGAUUAUGUCCCUGCCCUUUGUACACACCGCCCGUCGCUCCUACUGAUUGAGUGAUCCGGUGAAUAAUUCGGACCGCAGAGACGGGGCCUUGGUCACUGUCUCAGCGGAAAGUUUAGUGAACCUUAUCACUUAGAGGAAGGAGAAGUCGUAACA